rnacentral:lncRNA from 1 species
GAUGCCCUCCAGGUCCAUCCAUUUGCCUAGGAAUUUCAUAAAUUCAUUCUUUUUAAUAGCUGAGUAGUACUCCAUUGUGUAGAUGUACCACGUUUUUUAUAUCCAUUCCUCUGUUGAGGGACAUCUGGGUUCUUUCCAGCUUCUGGCUAUUAUAAAUAAGGUUUCUAUGAACAUAGUGGAGCAUGUGUUCAUAUUACAUAUUGGAGCAUCUUCUGUAUUUAUGCCCAGGAGUGGUAUUGCUGGGUCUUCCGGUAGUACCAUGUCCAGUUUUCUGAGGUAACUUUCUAACAGUUUUUUUUUUCCAGUCCUAAGUAUCAUGAGUGUGAGCCAAAAGGUGCAAGUGAGGAUCCUGCUAGAUUUGGCUACUUGGUGGCUGGCUUGGCUUAGAAGGGCUACCCACUGGGGUGACGUGGCAAUGAUCCCUACAUUCUGAACUUUGGGCUGGGAAAGUUUUAUUGGAAUGCUGUUGUGUUUGUCUACCCUUGUAACUAUGACAGAGUCUGGAUAAUUUACAAAGAGCAUGGGUUUAUUUCUCAAAGUUCUGAGACUAGGAAAGCCAAGGCCAAACCAGUGCUAUCUGCUGGGCACCUCCUUGCUCCUUGCUGUGUUCUCAAAUGCAGGAGUGGCCCUAUCCCAGCAAUCCAUUUUCAUGGACACCCUCACAACAGAAUCAUCCCUAUAAAGUACUCUGCUCCCUACACCAUUGCCAUAGAGAUCUAUCUUCAUGAAUCUUCCAUGGCAGCAGGCAUGCUCAGCUUUCCUGUCAGCCUCAGGCUCAUGUUAUAGUGUUGAGUUGUGUGUUCUGAAAAUUCCAGAGUGCUUGUUGUCUGUGCCUCUACAGUAACCAUUUACUGAUCCUGGCUGUGCAAUGAAAAUUAUAAUGUAGAUUGAGGAACCUGGGGAUAGAAGGCGAAGAAUGAUUCUCUAUUGACAAAGCUGUCAGAGAAGAGGGCAUCCUUAGGUUUUUUUGUUUGUUUGUUUUUGUUUUUUGUUUGUUUGUCUGUUUUUUGUUUUUGUUUUUUUCUGAGACAGGGUUUUUCUGUAUAGCCCUGGCUGUCCUGGAACUCACUUUGUAGACCAGGCUGGCCUCAAACUCAGAAAUCCACCUGCCUCUGCCUCGCAAGUACUGGGAUUGCGUGCGCCACCAUUGCCCGGCCUUAGCUCUUGGCACUCAUCUGCUCAUGAACCUUUGUAUAUGGUCCUAAUUCCUCUAGGUGAAAAAUGAGAGAAAAUGAGAGUUAAAGUUGCUUUAAGAGUAGAACUACCAAGGUGAGAAUUUUCUUUAACUAUCAACUUGACACACUCUUGAGUCCCCUGGGAAGAGGUUGGAGGAUUGUCUCGAUCACGUUGGCUUGUGGUUACAUCUGUGGAAGAUUGUCUUGAUUUUUAAUUGAUAUGGGAAGAACCCUAUGUUCCCUGGAUUUAGGGGCUGGAAUAUAAAAUAUUGGGAAAAGUGAGUAGAGUAGUAAGCGUGCAUGCAUUCAAUUCUCUCUGCUCUUAACUUGAUGCCCUUUGCUGCUUCAGGUUCCUGCCACCUUCACUUCCCUGCAAUAAUGGACUGUAGGAUAAAAUAAAUCCUAUCUCCUUAAGUUGCUUUUUGUCAGAAUGUCUUAGCUCAGCAAUAGAAAUAAAACUAGGACACUGAAUCUCGACUGCUUUCAACAGUAUCAUAGGCUUCUGCUUGCACUGAGUUCUUCACCAUGAUGUCCUCUCUGAUUUCAGUAACAGAACCUCCUGCAUCUGAGUCCCUUCUGCCAACACUCUUGGCAUCAGGAUUAUUUGGGACUUCAGAAACUGGCAAUAAGGUAGAUGUUUCUGAGCACUCACACAAGAACAGUUGCUGUUAGCAGAAUUUCUGUGUUUGUAUUGUAGAAAAUGAUUCAGUAUUAUCAAUAAGAGUCACUCAGCAUUUCCAUUGUUAUGGAGGAUAUUCCAUUCGACUUCUGAUUGUUAGGAAUGUCUUUUGCUGGUGAAAUCCAGACAAGAACUACAAUGGUGAGAUUUGAGGUUUGAAGAUAAAAUGUGUUAAGUGUUCUAUUGAACACCAGUGUCAUUUCUUCUAAAGGAAAUGUGUAGUUCCUACAAGUAGUCAGUUUAAUGUUAGUCUAGUUCACUUUUGCAGCCUGAGGAGAAUGCUUCAGCAGAGUUUAGAUGCAGUGCAUCUAGAAUGCAGAUGUGCCCUGUCUCACCAUCAUUGACUCUUGCAUUGAAGCUUUUAUUGUUUUAUUUGUCAGUUGUAGAUGAGAUCUUGGUAUUUUGGAAACUAAACUUGACUCCUUUGGAAGAGAAAUGCAUGCCACCAACCUAAGUGAUUUUCCCUGUCAGUGAGCUUGCAAUAUUAAUAAUAGUGGUGUAUUAGUCAGGGUUCUCUAGAGUCACAGAACUUAUGGAUAGUCUCU